rnacentral:rRNA from 1 species
AUUGAACGCUGGCGGCAGGCCUAACACAUGCAAGUCGAGCGCGCGGCGGACGGGUGAGUAAUGUAUGGGGUCUGUCCGAUAUCGGGGGAUAACUCCUGGAAACGCUAGCUAAUACCGCAUACUACCGCAUAAUCCAUAUGGGAUUUGCUAGUAGGUGGGGUAAUGGCUCACCUAGGCGACGCUCCCUAGCUGGUCUGAGAGGAUGAUAAGCCAAACUGGAACUGAGACACGGCCCAGACUCGUACGGAGGCAGCAGUGGGGAAGAUUGCACAAUGGGCGCAAGCCUGAUGCAGCCAUGCCGCGUGUGUGAAGAAGGCCCUAGGGUUGUAAAGUACUUUCAGUCGGGAGGCGUUACCGACAGAAGAAGCACCGGCUAACUCCGUGCCAGCAGCCGCGGUAAUUC